CAGAUAAUUCAAGCCUACCUUCACCAGUCCAAUUUAUUAAAAGCUCUGCAGUCGAUGUGAGUCUGGUUUAUGGUGUUCUGCUGCUGCUGUUGCUCUGUGCUCUUGUGGCUUUGGUUUUACUCUACAAGAGAAAAUCUGUGUCAAAGUCCAGCGCGUUGAACCAUCCCACCCCUGAUAAUGCAGAUACACCAGACCCUAACCAGAAUAUAGAAGACGUCUAUCACCUCUAUGAUGGCCUAGUGACAGAGCAUUGCUCUGUGGGUCAACCUAAGGCAGAUGAUUCAUCUCUAAUCUAUUCAACAGUGCAGAACUGUGAUCUUGCACCCCAGGAUAAUGUUAACGCUUUGUAUUCACUCAUUACUCUGCAACAAAUGUGAAAUAAGGAUAAAUAACUAAAGAACAGUCUACGUCUGAGCUUUCAUGGGAAAUGUGGUCAAAGUGUUGAAACAAGCUGCACCAUGCUGCAGUGUCAGUGUGUUUCUACAAUAAACUCUCUAUAUUUAUGGCAUGUAUGUU